rnacentral:rRNA from 1 species
AAAACAUGUCUUUUUGAUAAAAAUUUAAAGUCAGGUCUGCUCACUGAAUUAUUUAAAGAGCCGCAGUAUAUUGACUGUGCAAAGGUAGCAUAAUCAAUAGUUUUUUAAUUGGAAACUAGAAUGAAAGAUUAGACGAAAAAUUAAUUUUCUUUGUUUUAAUAAAUUUAAUUUUAAAUUUAAGUGAAAAUGCUUAAAUAUAAUUAAAAGACGAGAAGACCCUAUAGAUUUUUAUUGUUGAAAUGAAUUUUUAAAUUUAAUUUAGUAAAAUAAUUUAAUUGGGGCGAUUUUAUAAUAUAGAUAACUUAAUUUUUUAAAACCAUAAAUAAUUGAAUAUUUGAUCUAAAAUUUUUAAAGAAAAGAUUAAAUUACCUUAGGGAUAACAGCGUAAUUUUAUUUAAGAGUUCAUAUCUAUAAUAAAGUUUGCGACCUCGAUGUUGAAUUAAGAUAAUAUAUUGGAGUAGAAAUUAAUAUAAUUAGUCUGUUCAACUAUUAAAUUCUUAC